AUGAAAUAAACGCUACAAAGGCCGAAAAUUCAGCAUCUCUCAACAAACGGUCCAACUUAGUCCAUAAGCUUUCUGCACUCAUUUUGCUCGAUGCUCGUGUGUGAUAAGACCUCGAAUUCUUUAGCUGAAUUGUGUUUCGUGUAUAAAUUCAAUUUGGGAUUUGGGAUUUAUUUUUAUUAUCAUCUUCAUCUCUCCCAAUCCACACCCAUUUAAUCCGAAUUCUUCUUCUUUUUAGUUGAAGAUGGCCAGUGGAAUCUUCCAUGGUCUGUUUUACCAUCUGUUUUUUGUGUAUUUGGCAUCUUCUUCUGUGGGAUCGCAGAACUUUGUGCAGGGUCGGUUGCUUCUAAUUUCAAAACCCGACCCGGAUAAUGCUGCGGCCACUGCUCGUUGGUUGGUUUCUCAGAAUUCAUGGGGAAUCUUAAGCACCAUCUCAAGUGAUUUUGGGGGAGCGCCUUUUGGGAAUGUGGUUUCGUUUAGUGACGGGCCACCCAACGAAGGUCGAGGCAUUCCAUAUUUCUACUUAACUACUCUUGACCCAACUGCAAAGUAUGCAAUCUCUGAUGAGAGGGCUUCAUUCACACUCAGUGAGUACCCUAUUGGAACUUGUGGCAAGACAGAUCCAGAAAACCCGACUUGCGCAAAAAUUACAUUGAUCGGGAAGGUAAAAUUGUUAGUUUUACAUUCUCCAGCUUAUCUUCUAACCAUGCUAAUAUUCAUCUUGUGUAACUUUAAGUCACUGUUUGGCCUACAGCUGAAGCAGGUUGAGCCUAAUUCCAAAGAAGUAGAGUUUGCUAAAACUUCUUUGUUCUCAAAGCAUGGAGAGAUGAAAAACUGGCCCAAGGAUCACGACUUUCGGUUCUACAAAUUAGUAAUAGAAAACAUAUUCUUGAUCAAUUGGUUCGGUGGACCUAAGCCUCUUACAGUUGAUCAAUAUCUUCAUUUGAAACCGUGAGUAUUGAUAUCGAAACACCAGCAUCGUCAAUCCUAAACCAAGUUUAGUAAAGAAUGAGCUCACAUCCAUUAGUUGAAUUUGUACAAUCUGAUCUUCCUUGAUCAUAUCAGCUUCCUGGGUUUGAACUAUUGAAAGUUUGUACAGAUUAUUGCUUGUGGGGAUGGGAAUUAUGGGAAGAAUACAGAUGCAUUCAUUCGUUGUCCAGAUUCUAAAGUUGCUGAUGGGUUUUAAAUCGUGUAUUAUUGAGUAAAUCUGUAACAAGAAGUUUGAUAAAUGUGUUCUGAUAUUAGCACACAUUUCUAUUUCUUUAAUUAAUUGCUGUGAAUAUUUCUAAUAUUACGAAGUACCAUACUCCUUUGUUCAAA